ACGAAUGUGGCGAAAAUGGUAUACGCAUUAGAUUUAGAUUCUAAUAUUAAUUAUAAAGAUAAGAGUUCGAAUCUCUUCAUUCGUA
rnacentral:tRNA from 1 species